rnacentral:rRNA from 1 species
UACGUAGGGUGCAAGCGUUGUCCGGAAUUAUUGGGCGUAAAGAGCUUGUAGGCGGUUUGUCGCGUCUGCUGUGAAAAUCCGAGGCUCAACCUCGGACUUGCAGUGGGUACGGGCAAACUAGAGUGUGGUAGGGGAGGCUGGAAUUCCUGGUGUAGCGGUGGAAUGCGCAGAUAUCAGGAGGAACACCGAUGGCGAAGGCAGGUCUCUGGGCCACUACUGACGCUGAGAAGCGAAAGCAUGGGGAGCGAACAGG